rfam:Aspergillus wentii DTO 134E9 unplaced genomic scaffold ASPWEscaffold_1, whole genome shotgun sequence.
GCCUCUAUGGUGUAGUUGGUUAUCACGUGGGUCUCAUAUUCCUAUGACAUUUCUGUUCAACAGAUUUGACAUCCCGAGGUCUCCAGUUCGAUCCUGGAUGGGGGCA